GUUCAUGACUGGGGUGAAGUCGUAACAAGGUAGCCCUAGGGGAACCUGGGGCUGGAUCACCUCCUUAAACGAUAGAU
rnacentral:rRNA from 1 species